rnacentral:rRNA from 1 species
UACAGAGGGGGCAAGCGUUAUUCGGAAUUAUUGGGCGUAAAGGGCGCGUAGGCGGCUUCGCAAGUGACGGGUGAAAUCCCUCGGCUUAACCGAGGAACUGCCUGUCAGACUGCAUGGCUUGAGACCAGGAGAGGUGAGUGGAAUUCCCAGUGUAGCGGUGAAAUGCGUAGAUAUUGGGAGGAACACCAGUGGCGAAGGCGGCUCACUGGACUGGUACUGACGCUGAGGCGCGAAAGCGUGGGGAGCAAACAGG